rnacentral:rRNA from 1 species
GACGAACGCUGGCGGCGUGCUUAACACAUGCAAGUCGAACGGUGAAGCUCCAGCUUGCUGGAGUGGAUCAGUGGCGAACGGGUGAGUAACACGUGAGCAACCUGCCCCUGACUCUGGAAUAAGCGCUGGAAACGGCGUCUAAUACUGGAUACGAGAAGGGUCCGCAUGGGCACUUUCUGGAAAGUUUUUCGGUUGGGGAUGGGCUCGCGGCCUAUCAGCUUGUUGGUGAGGUAAUGGCUCACCAAGGCGACGACGGGUAGCCGGCCUGAGAGGGCGACCGGCCACACUGGGACUGAGACACGGCCCAGACUCCUACGGGAGGCAGCAGUGGGGAAUAUUGCACAAUGGGCGAAAGCCUGAUGCAGCGACGCCGCGUGAGGGAUGACGGCCUUCGGGUUGUAAACCUCUUUCAGCAGGGAAGAAGCAAAAGUGACGGUACCUGCAGAAGAAGCACCGGCUAACUACGUG